rnacentral:tmRNA from 1 species
GGCCUUCCAAUCGGCGCAGGAAAGGCUUAUAUCAGAAGCGUCGGGCAACCGACUAUAACGUUACAGGGCUUUUUGGAAUAAGCGUCGCGGACCCGGGGGCGGUACCCGGCGCCUCCACCAAUUUUCUGCGCCAGACGAUUACGGCGGCGUAGUGUGGGGGCGAAAUAGGAUCGACGCGCGUGGUAAAGAUCUAGUCUACGUUCGGCAUGGCACCAUCGUUAUCGGGCCAAAUUCGCUAAUUGCGAACGAUAACUUCACGGGCGAAGCCCGUCUCGCUGCUUAAUUAAUUAAGCAAGCGCGGCCUGGGGGGUGCCGGGCAACAGAAACCCCCCGCU